rnacentral:rRNA from 1 species
UACAGAGGUCUCAAGCGUUGUUCGGAUUCAUUGGGCGUAAAGGGUGCGUAGGCGGCGCGGUAAGUCGGGUGUGAAAUCUUGGAGCUUAACUCCGAAACUGCAUUCGAUACUGCCGUGCUUGAGGACUGGAGAGGAGACUGGAAUUUACGGUGUAGCGGUGAAAUGCGUAGAGAUGGGGGAGAACACUCGUGGCGAAGGCGGCCAGCUAGACCAGUUCUGACACUGAGGCGCGACAGCGUGGGGAGCAAACAGG